rnacentral:lncRNA from 1 species
GUCCACCAUAAUAGCAAGGCCCCCCACCAACGCCAUGAUAGCAUUCCGUGCAACAGCAUCCGAUGGGGGGAUAAGCCAUUGGUGGUGGAGGACAAGGUUCUGGAACCUUUGGUGGUGGUGGUGGUGGUGGUUCUUUUGGUUUCUCAGGUUCCUUAGGCUUUUCGGGUUCUUUCGGCUUUUCGGGUUGUUUCGGUUUCUCGGGUUCUUUGGGUUUUUCGGGUUCUUUCGGCUUUUCGGGUUGUUUAGGUUUCUCGGGUUCUUUGGGUUUUUCGGGUUCUUUUGGUUUUUCUGGUGCUUUAGGCUUUUCGGGUUCUUUUGGUUUUUCUGGUACUUUAGGCUUCUCAGGUUCUUUGGGUUUUUCAGGUUCUUUGGGCUUUUCGGGUUCUUUAGGCUUCUCAGGCUCCUUGGGUUUGGGAGGAGGAGGUGGAGGUUUGAUCUCAAUGCUCUUGAUUGAUCCAGCACCCUUGCAACAUAUCUUGUCCCUCAGCUUCUCAGGAUUGCAGCAUACCACGGUAAUGGUCACGGUGUUGGUUUUCUCAUCGUAUAUCUGGUCUCGUAUUUCUCUUGUUCGCAAAAACCCAUCAUCAAAAAAUUAUCAACUUAAACCAGUUCACACUUCACUGUCUUCAGCUCAAUCAUAAAAUAAAUAAAAAAACUACUUUGCAAUUAUUAAAAUGCUAAACACACAAAGGACAAGCAUAAAAAUCAGGAAACGGGAACUCACGAGGGAAUUUACACAGCACUUUCUUCACUUUCUUGUAGCAUCGCCAGCACUGAAGGUCUACCUUCAGCACCAUUACAGUCACCUACAUCCGUACACGCACACAUGUAAAGUUAUAAAUUAUUACGUAUCUUGUGAAUGAUGGAAGUCAGAGAGACAGAGAAAGUAAAUAAUUCCAUAUAUCAUCAUUAACAAACAAAACAACAAGGGAUUCAGGUUCUGGAAUGGAAGGAUCAAGAAAUAUCAAAAAG